rnacentral:rRNA from 1 species
GAUGAACGCUGGCGGCGUGCCUAAUACAUGCAAGUCGAGCGAACAGACGAGGAGCUUGCUCCUCUGACGUUAGCGGCGGACGGGUGAGUAACACGUGGAUAACCUACCUAUAAGACUGGGAUAACUUCGGGAAACCGGAGCUAAUACCGGAUAAUAUAUUGAACCGCAUGGUUCAAUAGUGAAAGACGGUUUUGCUGUCACUUAUAGAUGGAUCCGCGCCGCAUUAGCUAGUUGGUAAGGUAACGGCUUACCAAGGCAACGAUGCGUAGCCGACCUGAGAGGGUGAUCGGCCACACUGGAACUGAGACACGGUCCAGACUCCUACGGGAGGCAGCAGUAGGGAAUCUUCCGCAAUGGGCGAAAGCCUGACGGAGCAACGCCGAGUGAGUGAUGAAGGUCUUGGGAUCGUAAAACUCUGUUAUUAGGGAAGAACAAAUGUGUAAGUAACUAUGCACGUCUUGACGGUACCUAAUCAGAAAGCCACGGCUAACUACGUG